rnacentral:lncRNA from 1 species
CCUUCCUCCUUCCUUCCUUCCUUCCUUCCUUCCUUCCUUCCUUCCUUCCUUCAGCCAUGGUCUCUCUUUCCUUGCAGGAUAUCUGCCCCGGUCAAUACAAGAAUGUCUUCCUCAGUUGGCUUUGUAUCUCAAAGAAAACAUAUCUGUUUGACAGCUCAAGGCAAAAAGUGCUGCCAGGGUGGACCCUCUUUGGCCAGUGCAUCCUUUAAUGCAGUAUCCACCACCUGCUGAAGUCAUCAGGCCCCACUGCAUCGUCGCAGGACAAUACCAGCACAGAGCUGGCAGCAAAGACAUCUUGCCUUCUUUUGUUUGUCAAGACAGUGUCCCGUGAAUCACAGGCUGAUCUUGAACUUGGUAUGUAGCUGAGGAUGGCCGUGAACCUUUGAGCUUCCUGCCUCUAUCUCCUGGGUGCCAUGGUUACAGAGAUGUUGAAAAGGCACAGACAUUGGUAAUUGCUACAGAAAAAGUGCUGCGAGGUAUGGCUGGAAGCUGUAGACAGCAUUAAAGCCAGAAGUGGAAUCUGAAACGCUGUGCCCAGGUGUCUUUUUGUCCCCACUUCAGGAAUACACUAAAAUGUGGUAAGGCAUUUAUUUAUAAAGUCAGAGCCUUCGAGAGAGCAGGAAACCCAAAAGUGCAAGGGGGUGAAGAGGGGUCAUGCUUGCUCCCUUUUUUGGGUGUGUGCAGUUUCUAAACAGCGAUGCUUAGAAGGCAAGUGGGACAGGAAGGACCUGAAGGGAGAGGGGAGGGAGAUACAGAGCCCCUCUACAGGUGGGGAGGGAGGGCUACAGACUCCAGCUUUUGGUCUGAAUAGAGAUGGAUGACCUUGGCUAUAUGGUGACUUCUUGCCAUUCCUUUUCUACUGAUUGAGAUGGGCUGGGAAGUGAAAGGAUCUCACAAUUUCCCAAGCCCCAUGAAAGCAGAGCUGUACUGGCCUCCUUCACACCCUCCCUUGAAUUUAUCACCAGACAUUAAGUUCACAGACUACUAUCAUCACCCCAG